rnacentral:lncRNA from 1 species
UCCCAGGCUGGUUAUUUCACAAUUAAAGAAAUAUUUUCCUCUCAUCUUUUCUGCAAGACUCGAACAAAGAAGUUGCUUGUCUCAGUUGAGACUGGCAUCUAUUUUGCAAACAUGAAGAGAACCAGCCUGAAGACAAAACUAACAUAGAAAGGAGGGCAAAGAACACUGCAAGACAAAGAUCCCAUCAUCUCAGAUUCCUCUUCUGGAAAACACCUCGUGGCCGAUAUCAAGUAAAAGUAAUGUAUGCUACCCAGAUGGCUCAGCAAGUAAAAGUACAUACUGCGGCUUCCUUAUACAGCUUCAAUGCACCUGCCUAGGAUGGAGCCACCAACAGGAGGCAGGAUCCCUCCACAUCCAUCAUCACUCAAGACAAUCUCUCACAGACAUGACCACAGGACAGUUCUUCAGCCGAGGGCCCCUCUUCCCAGGUGAUUCUAGUCUGUGUCAAGUUGAUGAUUAAAAACUCACAAGGACAGCUCAUAUUUUAUUUGUUGUUUUCUGUGUCUUGAACUCUUUGAGCAAGUAUGUUCACUAAGAAGCCAAUACUCUUAGAUAAGACGAUUUUUCUCUCACUACUUUCCUUUGGUUAUUGUGCCAAUUUGAUCACCUCACCAUUGGUAAGCAGGUUUAAUGACAUGGCUAACACUGGAAAUUUUUUUGUUUGUUAGUUUCUAGUUCAUCUUACUUUUGUGAUAAAAUCCUUCUAUAGUAAGAUAUUUUGUUUUAUAAAUCAGGUGUGGCGAUACAUGCCUAUCAUCCCAGAAAUCAGGAAGGCAAAGAACUUCAGAACAAGCCUUGGCUACAUAGCAAGAUCAAGAGGGUAGCCUGGAUUAAAUGUGACCCUGUGUAACAAACAAAUGAUU